UGGAAGGGCCAUCGCUCAACGGAUAAAAGGUACUCCGGGGAUAACAGGCUGAUACCGCCCAAGAGUUCAUAUCGACGGCGGUGUUUGGCACCUCGAUGUCGGCUCAUCACAUCCUGGGGCUGAAGUAGGUCCCAAGGGUAUGGCUGUUCGCCAUUUAAAGUGGUACGCGAGCUGGGUUUAGAACGUCGUGAGACAGUUCGGUCCCUAUCUGCCGUGGGCGCUGGAGAACUGAGGGGGGCUGCUCCUAGUACGAGAGGACCGGAGUGGACGCAUCACUGGUGUUCGGGUUGUCAUGCCAAUGGCACUGCCCGGUAGCUAAAUGCGGAAGAGAUAAGUGCUGAAAGCAUCUAAGCACGAAACUUGCCCCGAGAUGAGUUCUCCCUGAGACUUAGAGUCUCCUGAAGGAACGUUGAAGACGACGACGUUGAUAGGCCGGGUGUGUAAGCGCAGCGAUGCGUUGAGCUAACCGGUACUAAUGAACCGUGAGGCUUAACCUUACA
rnacentral:rRNA from 1 species